AGCGAACGCUGGCGGCAGGCCUAACACAUGCAAGUCGAACGAACCUUUCGGGGUUAGUGGCGGACGGGUGAGUAACACGUGGGAACGUGCCUUUAGGUUCGGAAUAACUCAGGGAAACUUGUGCUAAUACCGAAUGUGCCCUUCGGGGGAAAGAUUUAUCGCCUUUAGAGCGGCCCGCGUCUGAUUAGCUAGUUGGUUGAGGUAAUGGCUCACCAAGGCGACGAUCAGUAGCUGGUCUGAGAGGAUGAUCAGCCACAUUGGGACUGAGACACGGCCCAAACUCCUACGGGAGGCAGCAGUGGGGAAUCUUGCGCAAUGGGCGAAAGCCUGACGCAGCCAUGCCGCGUGAAUGAUGAAGGUCUUAGGAUUGUAAAAUUCUUUCACCGGGGACGAAAAUGACGGUACCCGGAGAAGAAGCCCUGGCUAACUUCGUG
rnacentral:rRNA from 1 species